AAAUUGAAGAGUUUGAUCAUGGCUCAGAUUGAACGCUGGCGGCAGGCCUAACACAUGCAAGUCGAGCGGUAACACAGAGAGCUUGCUCUCGGGUGACGAGCGGCGGACGGGUGAGUAAUGUCUGGGAAACUGCCUGAUGGAGGGGGAUAACUACUGGAAACGGUAGCUAAUACCGCAUAACGUCGCAAGACCAAAGUGGGGGACCUUCGGGCCUCAUGCCAUCAGAUGUGCCCAGAUGGGAUUAGCUAGUAGGUGGGGUAACGGCUCACCUAGGCGACGAUCCCUAGCUGGUCUGAGAGGAUGACCAGCCACACUGGAACUG
rnacentral:rRNA from 1 species